UACGUAGGGUGCUAGCGUUGUUCGGAAUCAUUGGGCGUAAAGCGCGUGUAGGCGGUCAGGCAAGUCAGAUGUGAAAUCCCUGGGCUCAACCGAGGAAGUGCAUCCGAAACUGCUUGGCUAGAAGACGGUAGAGGAAGGUGGAAUUCCUAGUGUAGAGGUGAAAAUUCGUAGAUAUUAGGAGGAAUACCGGUGGCGAAGGCGGCCUUCUGGGCCGAUCUUGACGCUGAGACGCGAAAGCGUGGGGAGCAAACAGG
rnacentral:rRNA from 1 species